rnacentral:rRNA from 1 species
GAUGAACGCUGGCGGCGUGCUUAACACAUGCAAGUCGAACGAUGAAGCCCAGCUUGCUGGGUGGAUUAGUGGCGAACGGGUGAGUAACACGUGAGUAACCUGCCCUUGACUCUGGGAUAAGCGCUGGAAACGGCGUCUAAUACCGGAUACGAGCUUCCACCGCAUGGUGAGUUGCUGGUAAGAAUUUCGGUCAAGGAUGGACUCGCGGCCUAUCAGGUAGUUGGUGAGGUAACGGCUCACCAAGCCGACGACGGGUAGCCGGCCUGAGAGGGUGACCGGCCACACUGGGACUGAGACACGGCCCAGACUCCUACGGGAGGCAGCAGUGGGGAAUAUUGCACAAUGGGCGCAAGCCUGAUGCAGCAACGCCGCGUGAGGGACGAAGGCCUUCGGGUCGUAAACCUCUUUUAGCAGGGAAGAAGCGAAAGUGACGGUACCUGCAGAAAAAGCACCGGCUAACUACGUG